GACAGAGGGUGCAAACGUUGCUCGGAAUUACUGGGCGUAAAGCGCGUGUAGGCGGUGCCGCACGUCCGAGGUGAAAGCCCGGGGCUCAACCCCGGACGGGCCUUGGAAACGACGGCGCUGGAGGCCUGAAGAGGAGGGCGGAAUUCCCGGUGUAGAGGUGAAAUUCGUAGAUAUCUGGAGGAACACCGGUGGCGAAGGCGGCAUCCUGGACCAACACUGACACUGAGGAGCGAAAGCCAGGGGAGCAAACGGG
rnacentral:rRNA from 1 species